UACCGUGUAAACUUGUAAAAACAUGAAGCAAAUUUUCUUAGUUUUUUAAAAACGAAAUUGCAUUUUGUUGAGACCCACAAAUGGUACCGCCAUCGUCAUGAACAGCGCGUUGGUACGUACGUUUUUGUUGUGUGUGUUGCUGAGUGGUAGCGCGCGUCCAUGUGCAUUUCUUCGGCGGCAUGUUCGCGUACGUUCGUUUCCGCGACGACAACGAAAAGCGAAUCGUCCCAGUGGCUGCAUGUAAACACCUCAAGCCGAACGAUACGAGCGAUUUUAAUCCUCGCAAAUGGUACAAAGUCUUCUGGAAAGAUGAAACACACUGCGACCACUACCACGCUCAAGUGAUUAGGCCUUACGCUACCGAGGACGAUGCAGGGAAGGCUACCGAAAAACGAACUUCCAUUCCGCAAAGACCUGGCAGCGACUCCUCCUAUAGCUGCAGUUCAAAUGAAGUGGAUGGAUCGUUUGAAGAACGUCAAGCUGCUGUUAAACAGAAAAUGAAGGAUGUGAGCAGCCAUUUUAAGAAGAAGCAGCGAGACCUCCUGUUUGGUGAUGCUGAGGGCGGAAAAAAGACCGAGAAAGAACUUCUCAAAGAAGAAGUGAAUAUGCUGAAGGCCGAAAAUUCAAAACUCUUGGACCGAAUAAGAAUGCUCGAAAAGGCCCUAUGCAGCAAAAUUUUCAAAACAGGUUUGAUUAUUAUUUCCUUAUAAACUAUUGUCAUGCACUGCUGCUAGUGUUGUAUACAUCAGUAAGUUGCACUUUUCUUAUAACGUACAAUUUUGCUGAAAGCAGAAUGCAAUGCAAGCUCAUAUAUCAUACGUAGAAGUGAUGCGGGCAUGUUUUUCUAAUCACUUGUAAGUAUGCUUCUCCAUGCUGUCACAGCAUGGUGCUCAUAUUAAAGAACACCAGAUGGUCAAAAUUUCUUGAGCCCUCCACUGCGGCGUCCCCCGUAUCACAUCAUGGUUUUGAAAUGUGACACCCAACCUAUUAUUGUACUUUCAUGGCAUAUAUCUCAACUGCAUGCUCUAUUUUAUGUUAUUUGGCCUUGCACACCCUGGUCUCUCUUCAGUCUGAGACCUAAGAAGCUACUGUGACAAUUAAGGGUGCGAUUAACUUUCUUUUGCUGCAUACGUUUCUGCAUACACUUUUUUAUUGCAGAAAAAAACCUCGUUCUGUGCGAGGGCUGCAGCCGCAAGCCAGAACAACAAGUUGCGCCUUUGCCAUCGCCAUGUGCUGCCACGCACCACCACCAUGCAGCCGCCGCGCACCGCUACCGUGCAGCCACUGCGCACCACCACAGCGACCCCGGGCAGCCCUGAAGUGGCCCACACAAGUGCGAGGGAGGCCGAUUACGUGACCACUGACGGAGAGGUAUUGUAAAACUCUAGUGUGCUUUGUCUUAAAGGUAUAAUGCUUUGCUGUAAUGAGAAAAUGUGCAUUGACAUAUUGUUGUGUGCACAUCAUCUUUAACUUGUUUUAUAGGUGCAUCUGGGCAAAGGGAUCACCAUUCCUGAGGGCCUGUACAGCCGCCUCAUGAGCACAAAAAGCGAAACCCGCUUUGUUCGUGAGGCGGCCGUUGCCAUUUAUUCAACGGCAGGCUUGGUUGGGCGGAGUGUAAUUGGAACAGCCUCUAACCGGACAAAGGGAGAGGCAAAACCUCCCUUGGAUAAAGAAAAAUACGCUGUGCUUUCUGAUUUCUUCAACCAUUUUUUGAAAAGCAAUUUUCCAAUUGGAGAGGUCGAGCAAAAGAAGAAGAUACUAAAUAAGGCGCUCGCAAACAAAAUUAACGAUUUGAUGAAAUCAAAAGAUUAAGAAGUCAAUGGAACAUCAAAUAAAAG